rnacentral:pre_miRNA from 1 species
UACNUACUCCCUCUGUCCCAAAUUUCUUGUCUUAGAUUUGUCUAGAUACAGAUGUAUCUAAUACUAAAAUGUGACUUGAUACAUCCGUAUCUAGACAAAUCUAAGACAAGAAUUUUGGGAUGGAGGGAGUACAUU